GGCUUGGUAGCGCUCGGAGCGCGUCUGCAUCCAAUUAGGGGCCUUGGCAAAAGUUAAAUUGUACUGCAGAAGGAGCUCGUUCGACUCGAGUCCAAGCCA